UACGUAGGGUGCAAGCGUUAAUCGGAAUUACUGGGCGUAAAGCGUGCGCAGGCGGUCUUGUAAGUCUGUCGUGAAGUCCUCGGGCUCAACCUGAGAAUUGCGAUGGAGACUGCAAGGCUAGAAUCUGGCAGAGGGGGGUAGAAUUCCACGUGUAGCAGUGAAAUGCGUAGAGAUGUGGAGGAACACCGAUGGCGAAGGCAGCCCCCUGGGUCAAGAUUGACGCUCAUGCACGAAAGGCGUG
rnacentral:rRNA from 1 species